rnacentral:rRNA from 1 species
UGCCAGACUCCUACGGGAGGCAGCAGUGGGGAAUAUUGCACAAUGGGGGAAACCCUGAUGCAGCAACGCCGCGUGAGUGAAGAAGUAUUUCGGUAUGUAAAGCUCUAUCAGCAGGGAAGAAAAUGACGGUACCUGAGUAAGAAGCCCCGGCUAACUACGUGCCAGCAGCCGCGGUAAUACGUAGGGGGCAAGCGUUAUCCGGAUUUACUGGGUGUAAAGGGAGCGUAGACGGCGAUGCAAGUCUGAAGUGAAAGCCCGGGGCUCAACCCCGGGACUGCUUUGGAAACUGUAUGGCUGGAGUGCUGGAGAGGCAAGCGGAAUUCCUAGUGUAGCGGUGAAAUGCGUAGAUAUUAGGAAGAACACCGGUGGCGAAGGCGGCUUGCUGGACAGUAACUGACGUUGAGGCUCGAAAGCGUGGGGAGCAAACAGGAUUAGAUACCCGCGUA